rnacentral:lncRNA from 1 species
AAAUUGGAGGGGGGUUUGGGAUAGAUGGGAGGUAGGAUGGGAAGGGAAUAAAAGUUUUAGGGGAAAAGUGGGAGGGAGUAAAAAUUUUGGGGGAAAAUAAAAGGUUUUGAGGGUUUUUGGGAGUAAAAUUUUGAGAAAAAAUAAAUGGGAGAGUAAAAUUUUGGUGGGAAAUGGAUUUUGGGUAGAUUGGGGGGUUGGGAGGGGAGUAAAAGUUUUGGGGGGAAAGUGGGAAGGAGUAAAAGUUUUGAGGGAAAAGUAAAAAGGUUUGGGAGUUUGGG